AGCGAGGUAUAGAGUUCCU
rnacentral:miRNA from 2 species